rnacentral:rRNA from 1 species
UACGUAGGAGGCGAGCGUUGUCCGGAAUUACUGGGUGUAAAGCGCGUGUAGGUGGCAGGCCAAGUCUGUGGUGAAAUCGCCCGGCUCAACUGGGCGGGGUCCAUGGAAACUGGUCAGCUGGAGGACGGUAGAGGCGAGUGGAAUUCCCGGCGUAGUGGUGAAAUGCGUAGAGAUCGGGAGGAACACCAGUGGCGAAGGCGGCUCGCUGGGCCGGUCCUGACACUGAGACGCGAAGGCGUGGGGAGCGAACGGG